UCAAACAUGACUUGUCAAAGAAUUUUCAGAAUGACCUUGAAUCUUAUGUUUCUACUUUGUUUGGUUGCAGUGAUGAACAACCAUGUUACUCUAAGCUAUGCUAGGCAACUCAAGAAUCCAUCAAAUGAAGACAAAGAAGUAGCAAUUGAAAGUGAAAGUGUAGGAGCAGUAGAUCAAAGCAACAAGAAUAAGAAGGCAAAAGAGGAGAAGGAAGUAGUAGUAUUUAGAAGUGAAGUAGUAGAAGGAAAUGAAGGUUCAAAGAUGGGAAUAGGAGUAAAAGAUGAGAAACAUCCAUUACCACUAUUUCCAUUUCCAUGGCCAAUGCAACCACCAGUUGGAGGACUCCCAUUUCCACCACCCUUUGAUGUUCCAAUGAUUCCACCACUCCCUUUCCCUCCUCUUUCUUUCCCUCCUUUUGAUAUCCCUGGCAUUGUUCCAUCCCCACCUAUGUAACCAUGCAUGGACAUACAUAACUUUGGAUGGGAUGCAUGCAGUGAAAAUAAGUUCUAUGCUUGUACCAACAAAACAAUAAAGUUGUCUGGUUUAGGUUUGUAGUACUAAGUUGUCUGGUUUAAGGUUUGUAGUUUAUUAAGUUGUAUGGUUGAACCAAAAAAUAAUAUUUGUAUGAAAAUCUUACUACUUUCCUGUUGCUAGUUUCUUUUGUCAGUAAGAAUUAUCUUCAGUACUCAAAAUGCAAGUGUUUUAAAAGUAAAACAAGAACUUCACUAGAUAGAAUCCUUGUUUGUUUCCUUUAGGAUUAGCUGACUUAUAGUUCCUUACUAGUUACUACUCCAGUUCAUGUACUUUUGAAACUUUGUCUUGUUUUCAGCAAGU
rnacentral:lncRNA from 1 species